rnacentral:rRNA from 1 species
UGCGUAGGCGGAUUUAUAAGUCAGUGGUGAAAUCCUACAGCUUAACUGUAGAACUGCCAUUGAUACUGUAGAUCUUGAGUACGGUUGAGGUGGGCGGAAUGUGUCAUGUAGCGGUGAAAUGCUUAGAUAUGACACAGAACACCAAUCGCGAAGGCAGCUCGCUAAACCGUAACUGACGCUGAGGCACGAAAGCGUGGGGAGCGAACAGGAUUAGAUACCCUGGUAGUCC